UUGAAAUGCAUUCACACUCAUGUCAGGAAC
rnacentral:piRNA from 1 species